rnacentral:tRNA from 1 species
GGAGUUGUGGCUCAGCGGUAGAGCGCUAGCCUACCACGUAGAGACCCUGGGUUCAAUCCUCAGCACCA